rnacentral:rRNA from 1 species
UACGGGGGGGGCAAGCGUUGUUCGGAAUUACUGGGCGUAAAGGGCUCGUAGGCGGCCAACUAAGUCAGACGUGAAAUCCCUCGGCUUAACCGGGGAACUGCGUCUGAUACUGGAUGGCUUGAGUUUGGGAGAGGGAUGCGGAAUUCCAGGUGUAGCGGUGAAAUGCGUAGAUAUCUGGAGGAAUACCGGUGGCGAAGGCGGCGUUCUGGACCAUUACUGACACUGAAUCGCGAAAGCUAGGGGAGCAAACGGG